rnacentral:tRNA from 1 species
GUGUCUGAUGUCGAAGCGGUGGAGACAUUGGUUUGUGAAGCCAAUCAUAGCGGGUUCAACUCCCGUCGGACACC